GAUGAACGCUGGCGGCGUGCCUAAUACAUGCAAGUCGAGCGAACGGACGAGAAGCUUGCUUCUCUGAUGUUAGCGGCGGACGGGUGAGUAACACGUGGAUAACCUACCUAUAAGACUGGGAUAACUUCGGGAAACCGGAGCUAAUACCGGAUAAUAUUUUGAACCGCAUGGUUCAAAAGUGAAAGACGGUCUUGCUGUCACUUAUAGAUGGAUCCGCGCUGCUUUAGCUAGUUGUUAAGGUAACGGCUUACCAAGGCAACGAUGCGUAGCCGACCUGGGAGGGUGAUCGCCCACACUGGAACUGGGACACGGUCCUGACUCCUACGGUAGGCAGCAGUAGGGAAUCUUCCGCAAUGGGCGAAAGCCUGACGGAGCAACGCCGCGUGAGUGAUGAAGGUCUUCGGAUCGUAAAACUCUGUUAUUAGGGAAGAACAUAUGUGUAAGUAACUGUGCACUUCUUGACGGUACCGAAUCAGAAAGCCACGGCUAACUACGUG
rnacentral:rRNA from 1 species